AGUGAACGCUGGCGGCAUGCCUAACACAUGCAAGUCGAACGGUAACAGGCCCGCAAGGGUGCUGACGAGUGGCGGACGGGUGAGGAAUACAUCGGAAUUUGCCCAGUCGUGGGGGAUAACGUAGGGAAACUUACGCUAAUACCGCAUACGACCUAACGGUGAAAGCGGGGGAUCGCAAGACCUCGCGCGGAUGGAUAAGCCGAUGUCGGAUUAGCUAGUUGGCGGGGUAAAGGCCCACCAAGGCGACGAUCCGUAGCUGGUCUGAGAGGAUGAUCAGCCACACUGGGACUGAGACACGGCCCAGACUCCUACGGGAGGCAGCAGUGGGGAAUAUUGGACAAGUGGGGGCAACCCUGAUCCAGCAAUGCCGCGUGUGUGAAGAAGGCCU
rnacentral:rRNA from 1 species